AAAAGUGUGCUUUCGCCGAGAAUUGACGGCAAUGUGAUGCCCUACAGGCACGUGCAUCAGGUACGCGGAACUGCAGGGCUCAAGUGCAUCCUGGACACGCCGCUGCCGCUUUGCCUUCCUGCGCACACACACAUAUAAGGAACACAGGGUCACUAUGCACUGUUGUUCAAGUUGUUCACUGCACAAUCCUGAAUUCAGGCCAGAACUUCAUCUGGGAGCAUCACCACACUGCAAGACCUCCAUUGACUAGACCAGAAAUUCUAUCUCGACUUGCCGGAUCUGCAAGGACUUGCAGGGGCCUCGUGCAUGUUAAGAUGGUUCGUGCUACCAGGCUUUGGGUUUGUCUGUCCUGAGCUGCCGAUGUCUAGAGUAUGUCUUUGGAGAAGUUCCUUUACUUCUUAAAACUUCUUCUGUGUCUUCAGAAGAAAACGGGAUGACGUUUUCUUCUACGUCCCUCCAAGAGCGCAGUGCAUGGAGCUAACCCAUGCAGCGUGGCAGGGCCUUCUGGAACGUUCCGUGCGAAGGGCCCACAGAGAACGCCAACGGGGUGAGGGAGCCUCUGUUUGGAGCUGUCGGGCAGAGGCGGACAGCGGGUCAGGAGGUUGUAGGCAACGGCCCUCUGGUGCCGCAGAACUCGACUGGUCGGUGGGGAACUAGAGACUGGAGAGCAAGUCAGAGGAAAGAUCGGGGCCGUCCCGCGUCCCAGUGGGUUGAACGGGAGCGCGAAGGCUGAGGGUGCAAAGGGUUCUCCUCUCCCGUGACACCUGGCUCUCUCCGUCGGGCAAUGCCCGGCUUCUGAAAAAACUGAAAAAAAAAAAAAUGGGGGCAGCGAGUUUUAAGAGUUAAAGGAUAUAAUAAUGUACGUGAUACACGCUGUGU